rnacentral:rRNA from 1 species
AGUGAACGCUGGCGGUAGGCCUAACACAUGCAAGUCGAACGGCAGCACAGUAAGAGCUUGCUCUUACGGGUGGCGAGUGGCGGUCGGGUGAGGAAUACAUCGGAAUCUACUUUUUCGUGGGGGAUAACGUAGGGAAACUUACGCUAAUACCGCAUACGACCUACGGGUGAAAGCAGGGGAUCUUCGGACCUUGCGCGAUUGAAUUAGCCGAUGUCGGAUUAGCUAGUUGGCGGGGUAAAGGCCCACCAAGGCGACGAUCCGUAGCUGGUCUGAGAGGAUGAUCAGCCACACUGGAACUGAGACACGGUCCAGACUCCUACGGGAGGCAGCAGUGGGGAAUAUUGGACAAUGGGCGCAAGCCUGAUCCAGCCAUACCGAGUGGGUGAAGAAGGCCUUCGGGUUGUAAAGCCCUUUUGUUGGGAAAGAAAAGCAGCAGGUUAAUACCCCGCUGUUCUGACGGUACCCAAAGAAUAAGCACCGGCUAACUUCGUG